rnacentral:piRNA from 1 species
UCCCUGAAGAUCCUUUCUUGUGUGGUAAU